rnacentral:lncRNA from 1 species
AAAAAUUAUAUCAACCUCUUUACAAUUUUUUAGUACAUCUUAUAAUAAAUAAGAUAUAAAAAGAAGAAAUAAUCAAUUAUAGAGUUCUAUUUUGUUAAAUGAGUAUUUAUAUAUAUUAUUAAUUCUUAUUAGACAUUAUGUAAAUGAUUAAUAACUGCAACUGUAUUGUGGACAAUAGUGAAUACAUUAUUAAAUAGUUGCCAUGGCCAUGGUGGGUUUUGUAGUCACAGUUGUCAUAGCUAUCAUGUAGCCUAACAAAGAAAAUAUUUAUAUAUUAAUAGUUAGACUAAAUGUUAGUGUAUUUGCACUAAAAAUUCCACAUUAUUAAACCAUGGACUUAUGUCAUGUAAGAACUUAAGGAAAAAAUUUACUUUUAAACAAUUAAUUUACUUGAAUCCUUGAUGGUUGAAAGGUGAGCUCAUUAAUAUCAACGUUGGAUGCUGUAGAUUUCUCAUUCAACAAGUUGAUUGGUUUGUGAGGAUUUUAUUUCAUUUUAUUUAUUAAUUAAUUUAUUGUUUAGCAAAAUAUAAUCUUUUUAUCACCUUUAAAUAGGUAUUAGUAUUUAUAAAGCAAUUUUAUUUUUGUUAGCUUAGAGGAAGCAA